rnacentral:rRNA from 1 species
CGUGCGGAGUCUCCGGGGAACGGUGGCGAUCGGCGGGGGGACGGAUCGAUCCGGCGGUUGCGCUGUCCUCCUCGGUUCGCUCGCUCGCUCGCAGUCGCGGGCACAGUUCGUUUGUUGGUCCGGUCGAAGGCUCUGUCUGUCGUCGUGCCCGUGUCGCACGCGAUGCUUUGCUGCUUGGGGAAAGAGAGGCGGGGGUGACGAGUCGUUUUGCCCACCCGGGC